UGGUCCAGAGGGCAGCGAGCUCUCACCCACCUGCAAGGGCCCCAGCUCGCAGCUCCAUGUGUUGCCAGUUAAAUCCUGGCAGGCAGCAGUUUACCCACCUUCUACGAGGAAGGCUGGGAAAGAGCAUCUCCUGCAGAGCUGCUCCCUCUAAACCCUGACUUAAACCCUCUGAAGUCACACACCAGGAACAAUGCCAACAUUGAAGCCCUCGGUUGGAGUCUGCACAGUUGGAGAUCUUUGGUGCCAUUUUAGACAUCUUUGGAUUUCAUCAAUCAAACUGACUGCAAUUUUCCAUAAAAACCCUGAAUUUGGGUCAGAAAGUGGGCAAAGCAGAUAAAGAUCGUUCGAGCUGUCUUA